AGAGUUUGAUCCUGGCUCAGGAUGAACGCUGGCGGCGUGCCUAAUACAUGCAAGUCGAGCGAACGGACGAGAAGCUUGCUUCUCUGAUGUUAGCGGCGGACGGGUGAGUAACACGUGGAUAACCUACCUAUAAGACUGGGAUAACUUCGGGAAACCGGAGCUAAUACCGGAUAAUAUUUUGAACCGCAUGGUUCAAAAGUGAAAGACGGUCUUGCUGUCACUUAUAGAUGGAUCCGCGCUGCAUUAGCUAGUUGGUAAGGUAACGGCUUACCAAGGCAACGAUGCAUAGCCGACCUGAGAGGGUGAUCGGCCACACUGGAACUGAGACACGGUCCAGACUCCUACGGGAGGCAGCAGUAGGGAAUCUUCCGCAAUGGGCGAAAGCCUGACGGAGCAACGCCGCGUGAGUGAUGAAGGUCUUCGGAUCGUAAAACUCUGUUAUUAGGGAAGAACAUAUGUGUAAGUAACUGUGCACAUCUUGACGGUACCUAAUCAGAAAGCCACGGCUAACUACGUGCCAGCAGCCGCGGUAAUACGUAGGUGGCAAGCGUUAUCCGGAAUUAUUGGGCGUAAAGCGCGCGUAGGCGGUUUUUUAAGUCUGAUGUGAAAGCCCACGGCUCAACCGUGGAGGGUCAUUGGAAACUGGAAAACUUGAGUGCAGAAGAGGAAAGUGGAAUUCCAUGUGUAGCGGUGAAAUGCGCAGAGAUAUGGAGGAACACCAGUGGCGAAGGCGACUUUCUGGUCUGUAACUGACGCUGAUGUGCGAAAGCGUGGGGAUCAAACAGGAUUAGAUACCCUGGUAGUCCACGCCGUAAACGAUGAGUGCUAAGUGUUAGGGGGUUUCCGCCCCUUAGUGCUGCAGCUAACGCAUUAAGCACUCCGCCUGGGGAGUACGACCGCAAGGUUGAAACUCAAAGGAAUUGACGGGGACCCGCACAAGCGGUGGAGCAUGUGGUUUAAUUCGAAGCAACGCGAAGAACCUUACCAAAUCUUGACAUCCUUUGACAACUCUAGAGAUAGAUCCUUCCCCUUCGGGGGACAAAGUGACAGGUGGUGCAUGGUUGUCGUCAGCUCGUGUCGUGAGAUGUUGGGUUAAGUCCCGCAACGAGCGCAACCCUUAAGCUUAGUUGCCAUCAUUAAGUUGGGCACUCUAAGUUGACUGCCGGUGACAAACCGGAGGAAGGUGGGGAUGACGUCAAAUCAUCAUGCCCCUUAUGAUUUGGGCUACACACGUGCUACAAUGGACAAUACAAAGGGCAGCGAAACCGCGAGGUCAAGCAAAUCCCAUAAAGUUGUUCUCAGUUCGGAUUGUAGUCUGCAACUCGACUACAUGAAGCUGGAAUCGCUAGUAAUCGUAGAUCAGCAUGCUACGGUGAAUACGUUCCCGGGUCUUGUACACACCGCCCGUCACACCACGAGAGUUUGUAACACCCGAAGCCGGUGGAGUAACCUUUUAGGAGCUAGCCGUCGAAGGUGGGACAAAUGAUUGGGGUGAAGUCGUAACAAGGUAGCCGUAUCGGAAGGUGCGGCUGGAUCACCU
rnacentral:rRNA from 2 species